UUGAACGCUGGCGGCAGGCUUAACACAUGCAAGUCGAGCGGUAGCACAGGGGAGCUUGCUCCCCGGGUGACGAGCGGCGGACGGGUGAGUAAUGUCUGGGAAACUGCCUGAUGGAGGGGGAUAACUACUGGAAACGGUAGCUAAUACCGCAUAACGUCGCAAGACCAAAGAGGGGGACCUUCGGGCCUCUUGCCAUCAGAUGUGCCCAGAUGGGAUUAGCUAGUAGGUGGGGUAAUGGCUCACCUAGGCGACGAUCCCUAGCUGGUCCGAGAGGAUGACCAGCCACACUGGAACUGAGACACGGUCCAGACUCCUACGGGAGGCAGCAGUGGGGAAUAUUGCACAAUGGGCGCAAGCCUGAUGCAGCCAUGCCGCGUGUGUGAAGAAGGCCUUCGGGUUGUAAAGCACUUUCAGCGAGGAGGAAGGUGGUGAGCUUAAUACGUUCAUCAAUUGACGUUACUCGCAGAAGAAGCACCGGCUAACUCCGUGCCAGCAGCCGCGGUAAUACGGAGGGUGCAAGCGUUAAUCGGAAUUACUGGGCGUAAAGCGCACGCAGGCGGUUUGUUAAGUCAGAUGUGAAAUCCCCGGGCUCAACCUGGGAACUGCAUUUGAAACUGGCAAGCUAGAGUCUCGUUGAGGGGGGUAGAAUUCCAGGUGUAGCGGUGAAAUGCGUAGAGAUCUGGAGGAAUACCGGUGGCGAAGGCGGCCCCCUGGACGAAGACUGACGCUCAGGUGCGAAAGCGUGGAGAGCAAACAGGAUUAGAUACCCUGGUAGUCCACGCUGUAAAC
rnacentral:rRNA from 1 species